rnacentral:rRNA from 1 species
AGCUAGUAUACCCGCAUCGUUAAUCCCCUUCCCACUAUGCUCAGCCGUAACUUAGGCAUCUAAGUACAAUGAGAUGCCCGCCAGGGUACUACGAGCAUCAGCUUGAAACCCAAAGGACCUGACGGUGUCUCAGACCCCCCUAGAGGAGCCUGUUCUAGAACCGAUAACCCCCGUCUAACCUCACCACUUCUAGCCAACCCAGCCUAUAUACCGCCGUCGUCAGCUUACCCUGUGAAGGGUACAAAGUAAGCAAAAUGGGCACAACCCAGAACGUCAGGUCGAGGUGUAGCGCAUGAGGUGGGAAGAAAUGGGCUACAUUUUCUGCCACAGAAUAUUACGGAUAUGCACUGUGAAAUAGUGCUUGAAGGAGGAUUUAGUAGUAAAAGGGAAAUAGAGUGUCCCUUUGAACCCGGCUCUGAGACGCGUACACACCGCCCGUCACUCUCCCCCGUCAAAACGCAUCGAAGAUAAAUAACACAAUAGCACUGACAAGGGGAGGCAAGUCGUAACAUGGUAAGUGUACCGGAAGGUGCACUUGGAUAAAACC